rnacentral:rRNA from 1 species
UACGGAGGGUGCAAGCGUUAUCCGGAUUCACUGGGUUUAAAGGGUGCGUAGGCGGGCAGGUAAGUCAGUGGUGAAAUCUCCGAGCUUAACUCGGAAACUGCCGUUGAUACUACUUGUCUUGAAUAUUGUGGAGGUAAGCGGAAUAUGUCAUGUAGCGGUGAAAUGCUUAGAUAUGACAUAGAACACCAAUUGCGAAGGCAGCUCGCUACACGAAUAUUGACUCUGAGGCACGAAAGCGUGGGGAUCAAACAGG